rnacentral:lncRNA from 1 species
CUCAACAAUCAAACAUUGUCCCUUGUAAUACAUAUCCAACCUUCCCUAACGAAGACUAAAUGAACCAUUAUGGCUAUUAAGUAUCUUAGCACUACCAAACAGUAUAUGGAGCAGCUAAAUUAAUCUGACUAUUCAUAAAAGUAACUCAACUAUAGAAUAAAACUUCAAAUUCAGAAUGUGUGCGCAAAUCAAAAUAAAAAUACUAAACUAAGUGACUUGCAAACACCAUACAUGAAGAAAUCUGGAAAUUAACAUUUUGGAUAAACCAACUUCUUAUUACAACAAGGACUAAACACAUGCUUUACACUUCAUUUGCCACUCAAAGGUUCAAGAGUACCUGGAUAUCAAAAAUAAAGCAAGAGUAAGGUAAGGAUUUCAGCAAGCAAAUGAGUGAGGAUAGUAGCAAAUCAACAACAAUGCACAACUUCAACUUAAUCCAUAUUCAAACCCAGAAAACUAGAAAUCCAGCGAAGGUUUUUCUAAGUUCUUGCUAAAGAAAAAUCAGAGGAAAACAGACUAACUCCCAAUAAAAGUGCAGAAACCUUUUGAGUCUUUUUUAGGGUUCGAAAUCUCUCCCCAAAAUGUGUGAAGAAAGGCUCUAUUUUAUAAGCAUCUAAAAUGCCAUGUGCUGAAACAGAAUCAGGGAAUUAUUCCCUUAAGCCAGAAAGGCAUCUUUUAACAAACUUGGACAGCUGGCUGUCCCUCAUUGGCUUCAGCAUUUUGUGCUAACCAAAUGAGGCCAGCUGCCCCUAUUCUAGAACCUUCCCACAUGGUCUUAUCCUAUUUAAUACUUACCCACCCUUCAAACAAACUCCUUAAGUUUUUUUAUUGUUCAAUUAACCCCUACAAGUUCUUAAUGACUUACAAAUUAGAGCAAACACAAACGGACAGGUCAAUGUAAAUCAAACAACAAAACUAGACAAUGUGACUGCAUUUUGAACAUUUGAACACUAAAAAAUAAACCUAGAAUGAACUAAUUUCAUGGUGAAUCUCUGAUUUAAAACACCAGAAAUCUAAUUCAAACGGCUAAUGACAAUCUACCCAAACCACAACAAAAUGUUAUACACAUCAAAUUGAAUCUAAGAGACAAACAAUGAAGGAUGAACUGACAUGGAGCAUUCAAAUCAAACUGAUAACAAUAACAUAAAAUAACCUAGAUAACCUAAAGCAUGCAACUAAACACCAGAAUAAAAAAGAACAAGAAAAAGCAAGAAAAAACAGCAUAAGGAAUCUAUCCUAAAAAUUGCGGUUUAAUUAAUGUUACUGCUUAAUUAACAAAAACAAGAGAAGAUAUAGAUGAAUAAAACCCUAACAACACAUUUUUUGUUUUCUUUUGUUUUCAUGGAUGUGAAUCAGCACAAACAAAAAUAACAUAAGAUAAAAAAAAACAAGAAAACAAAGAGAGGGCAGUACCUAAUGAGACACAGAGAAGAACAAAACGGGCCUCGUGUUUGGCUUCGAUACAACUCAAAAUCGACCCCAAAUGGUUGUUCUUGUUAAGAACAACCAUUUGGGGUGAAUCUCAACAUUAUCGAAUCAGAAAAGAUCGACGAGGAAAGGACAUUCAUGACCCAGUGUUCUUAGGGUUCUUAGAUCCAAACUUCGCGAAGUUGUAGGAGUUUUUGACGGGAGAUAUUUGGUGAUUAGUGAUGAGGGGAAGCAAAGGGGUUGUAGGGUAUGAGUUUGGCGAUGUUUGGGUGAACUAGGGUUUGGAUCUGAUUUUCAGAUCUAAAGUUGAUAGAUUUGUAUGGUGAUUUUGGGGAAAUAUAUAGUGGGAUAGUGUUUGGGAGGGCAUCAGGAUAACGAGGUGUGAAUUUGGAACGAUUUGGUGAAGCUCCACCGCCAUAAAGCGAUUUCCGAGUGACGGAGAAGGCGGAGCCGACGAGGGGAUAAGGGGCGGCUAGGGUUUCGUUGGUUUAGAGAUGGAGAGUGAAAUGAGCGG